UCCCGUGUGGCUCAAUUGGUAGAGCAUGAUGCUUGCAACUUUGUGAUUGUGGGUUCGAUUCCCAAGGGGGAU
rfam:Salmo salar isolate Sally breed double haploid chromosome ssa15, whole genome shotgun sequence.